rnacentral:rRNA from 1 species
UGGGGAAUCUUCCGCAAUGGACGAAAGUCUGACGGAGCAACGCCGCGUGUAUGAUGAAGGUCUUCGGAUUGUAAAGUACUGUCAUUGGGGAAGAACGGUUUUCUUGAAAAGAUUGAGAAGACAUGACGGUACCCAAGGAGGAAGCCCCGGCUAACUACGUGCCAGCAGCCGCGGUAAUACGUAGGGGGCAAGCGUUGUCCGGAAUUAUUGGGCGUAAAGGGCGCGUAGGCGGGCCUUUAAGUCCGGUGUGAAAGAUCAGGGCUCAACCCUGAGAGUGCAUCGGAAACUGGAGGCCUUGAGGACAGGAGAGGAAAGUGGAAUUCCACGUGUAGCGGUGAAAUGCGUAGAUAUGUGGAGGAACACCAGUGGCGAAGGCGACUUUCUGGACUGUAACUGACGCUGAGGCGCGAAAGCGUGGGGAGCAAACAGGAUUAGAUACCCUGGUAGUCCACGCCCGUAAACGAUGAGCUGCUAGGUGUAGAGGGUAUCGACCCCUUCUGUGCCGCAGUUAACACAAU